AAGCCCAAUAAGUAAAACCCGCUUUAAUUCCCCUCAUCUGGCACCCCUUUAUUUCCCCGUCGGAGAAUCAUCGGCAGGAACUUCACCACCGUAAAUCGCCGUCACCAAUCGGAGGUCGGAACUGAAUUAAUGGAGCGAGAAGUGUUAGAAGCAGAACUAGUACUUCCAACUCACAUGAAAUUUAAGAAGAUUCAGAUGUACGACAAGUACCCUAAAGGACAAGCUAGAGGACGGCACUGGAAGCAUCUCAAGCAGAUUAUACAAGCAGAAAAUUACGAAAAUUAUCCUCCUCAACUACCUACUUAUGUUAACAUUGAAACGCCACCUUCUAUGCAUCCAGGCAAAAAGAUAUGCGACAUAACAGGAUUCGAGGCACCAUAUUUUGACCCAAGAACUAAACUCCGUUAUGCUAAUACUGAGGUUUUCAAGGCUAUAAGGUCUCUCCCUAAUGACUAUGUUCAGAGGUACUUGGCUCUCAGAAAUGCAGCUGUUGUUUUGAGAUAGGUGCAGAACGCAGAAUAGAUAGUUGUAAAUUAAUGUGGGAAGUAGUGGACGUUUGAAGUUGCCGUUUCUGAAUGCUCAGGUGAAUUUUGCUUGUGGGAAGUUGGUAUUCAGAUCAGUUACAAGAGACUUGAGUUUCUCAUUGAAUAGUUGAAUUGCCUCAUUUGUUGAAUCCACACACUUUCUUGUAUUGUGUUUUUGUAACUCUUGUGGAAUGCAACCUAUUUGGGGCAAUCCAAAUAGGGCUAUUUUCCUUGCUC